UGGGGAAUAUUGGACAAUGGGCGCAAGCCUGAUCCAGCCAUGCCGCGUGAGUGAUGACGGCCUUAGGGUUGUAAAGCUCUUUCGACGGGGACGAUAAUGACGGUACCCGUAGAAGAAGCCCCGGCUAACUUCGUGCCAGCAGCCGCGGUAAUACGAAGGGGGCUAGCGUUGUUCGGAAUCACUGGGCGUAAAGCGCACGUAGGCGGAUUGUUAAGUCGGGGGUGAAAUCCUGAGGCUCAACCUCAGAACUGCCUCCGAUACUGGCAAUCUCGAGUUCGGAAGAGGUUGGUGGAACAGCUAGUGUAGAGGUGAAAUUCGUAGAUAUUAGCUAGAACACCAGUGGCGAAGGCGGCCAACUGGUCCGACACUGACGCUGAGGUGCGAAAGCGUGGGGAGCAAAC
rnacentral:rRNA from 1 species